rfam:Anaplasma marginale str. Florida, complete genome.
GGGGCUGUAGCUCAGGGGUUAGAGCAGCUCGCUCAUAACGAGUUGGCCGCAGGUUCAAAUCCUGCCAGCCCCA